rnacentral:misc_RNA from 1 species
AUUGCUGGAGAGGCCGCGCAUGCGCACAUGUUUUGUAUAUGUGACCAGACUGCCAUAAGAGAAAUAUAAACAGUGAUCUAUAGAACAUUCUAGAAAUCGAAAUUACAUACAGGAAGAUAGCUCUACUUGCAAAAUAAUCCGCAAUGUUUGGACACAACCUUUUUGGAUCUUUCGAAGGCGAUCCGUUUUUCAUGGAUCAUCGAGAUCAUGUGCGAAUGAUGAAUGAUAUGAUGUCUCGACACUUUCAACCUUUCGGACAACAACUUUCUCUUGAGAAUUCACGCCCUAACAAUCAAAGGCAAAUGGCUAUGAGAACUCACGAUCCCUUUUCCAUGUUCAAUCAUAUGAACAGCUUCAUGGGGAAUUUUCACUCAAUGUUUGAUGAAGUGAACCGUCAAAUGCGGGACCCAAGUAGAGGUGGAGGUGGAGCAGUCUACCAACAGUCUACUGUAAUGACUUAUUCGAAUGAUGGAUCGGGAGCAGCUCCAAAAGUUUUUCAAGCAACUUCAAGCACAAGAACUGGUCCGGGAGGCGUGAAAGAAACGAGAAAAUCUGUAAGAGAUUCAAGUAGAGGAGUUGAAAAGAUGGCUAUUGGACAUCAUAUCGGGGACAGAGCACAUAUCAUUGAAAGAAAAAAGAAUACCAAAACGGGAGAUAUGGAAGAAAACAAGGAUCUUAUUAAUUUGGAUGAGGACGAAGCCCCCGAUUUCGAGAGAGAAUUUAGAGAAAAGGCCCAUGGAAGUUCCUCCCGUCAUCACCAUUCUGUUCGCACUGGCAGGUACGGUCAUCCUGCUUUGGAGUACACACCAUAUAAACGAAAUUAAAUUAAUAUAAUUUACAUUUUGUUUGAAACAUAAAUUAAGGUGAUAUAAAAAAAAUAUGUUGUAUUAGGGCUCCUUUUAGUGAGAUUGUAUGCUAAUAUACAGUCGCCUUGCCUGGGAUUAAGUAACAACAUUCUUUUGUUUCAGGGGAGACAAAGUUAUGAAAUCCCUUCCAGAUUCAAGGCGACGUAAUAAUAAACGCUUUGAACAUUGAGAACGAGAGGUAUGAGAAAACAAGCAUAAAAAACAACUAAAAGGUAAAAUGAAGAAGAUAUUUAUUUUAUUCAACAGUAUUGACUUGACCUUACUUGGUAUAACUUAAGCAAUAUCAAAUUAUUGAAGUUUGUUUUUGCAAACCUUUCUUUUCUCUCUGUUUUUAUCAUCUGAAUCUUUUAUGGGCAAAAAUUUAUAUGUAUUUUAUUAAAUAAAGAUUUAAGCUAAGUGAUUAUUACAUGACUGACUCAUUGUUUUACUUAUUAUUUGAAAAGUUAGCAGAUUUCAAUCAAAUUGCACUUUUAGUUAACAUUUCCAAAUGAAGACUAGUUCAUAUAGCAUUUAUCGUACAAUUUUAGUCAGGAAUUUGAAUGAAUAAAGUAGUUUUAUCGGCGAGAUCAACAUCAUGUAAAGAAAGUUCCAUAUCUCUCAGAAUCGAACGAUUAUGUGGAUUAAACAGUUCAUAAUUACAAAAGUCUUCAUUGGAAUAAUUGGAAGCAAAUUUUAAUAAUUCCAAUAGUUUGUCAUUUCGGUUGAAUCUUCGCUGUAUCCGUUCCCCAUUAAGAAGCUUCAGCGCAAUGUGUAGGCUAUUUGCAUCUGGCUCAGAUGAAAGAUUAUAGGGAGUAAACGGUCUUUCACCAUUAAUAUCAGGUAAAACAGAGUAGCGAGAUAGAGCGGAACUGGUUGGUCUUGACUGCACUCGAUUGAUAUCUGAAUCGACUUUAAAUCAUAAAUUGUAUUUUUACAUAACUUGGCAAAAGAGUGUUACCUGAGUCAAGUGAUUGUCGUGACGAUUUUCGUCUUCUGAAGUUCCUCCUAGACAUAUUUUUAAUCGGUGGAGGUUCGUUUGGUGGAGUAGGGUUCAAUGGGUUAUGAUGUGGAUGAGACACAGACAUUGUUGGAAGUAUAAUAGUAGAAAAUCAGUUAUCACAAUAUUUGGACGGAAUAUUAUAAAGCAGUAUCAUAAUAUUAAAAGUUCAUUGUCAUCUUUUUUACACUUCAAAAGAGAGUGUAAAAACCAGUUAAGUCGCCAUGAAUGUUUACGUGCGAUACGGGCUAAAUAUAGUUCUACUUUUAUUGUGGUGUCCUUACAGCAUUAAUUUGUAAAACAAAACCUUUUUCAUUUUCGAUUAUCUACCUUAAGACUAUAUUAUUUAGGAAAAUAUUCAAAUAAUAAUAAAU